CGUGUCUCCUUCAGCUGCUGCUGCAGAACUAGAAUGGUACUCUGCAUACCCUCUACUUCUUCAUCAAGCUGGAUGAUGAAGUCAUUCAGUUCUGUGCAAAGGAGAGUCAGACCAACUUUAAUAUCGUUUAUAACAUUGAAAAAUGUUUCUUUAGUGCCUGCCACAAAGCAAGGGAGUCAAUAAACGCUCAAGUAAACAAAUACAAUUCUAAAAUCACACUACAUUUAAAAAUUUUGCUUGGAAUCUUAAAAUAUGACUGAGUUUGUUUUGGGGGAAGUCAGAUACUUAAAAUAAUAUACAGUUGGCCCUCCACAUGCAACAAUGAAUUCAAGCAACUGUAGAAGGAAAAUAUUCAAGGAAGAAAAAACUGGGUCUAUACUGAACAUGUACAGAUUUUUUUUCUUGUCAUUAUCCCCCAAACAAUACAGUAAAAUAACUAUUUUCCUAGCAUUUAUAUUGUAUUAGGUACUGUUAAUCUAGAGAUGGCUCAAAGGGGAAGAUGUACAUAGGUUUAUAUGUAAAUAUGACAUCAUUUUAUAUGAGGGGCUUACUGUGGGAGGUCCUGACACCAAUCCACCAUGGAUACCGAGGGCAACUGUAUUAAGCAACCAAGUUAAAAUUGUUUUGAUCCAUCUUGCCAUAUGCCUGAUUACAGCCCCAAAGUUUGACUCACGUUUACCUAUGGGCCCACUAUGGCCAAUCCCCUUAUUCCUGAUCCAGUGCCUUAGUUCCAUAGCAAGUCUGAUCCUUAAGGAUAGUGUGGUCCUCUAUAACACUCCAAAGAGGCCCAUGUUCUCAACCAAGGACUGUUACAUAUAAAAGGACAAAAGUCACAGGAAAUAAUUCCUGAAGAUUUUGAAAAGGUAGGUAGUUCAGAAGAAAUUACUUGGCUACUGAUCAUCUUUGCAAUUAACCAGAGACACUAAUUUUCAAUUUAAAAUUUCAAAGAAUUUGGAUAUUUUCCUUAUUAAUAAUGCACCUUACAAAGAAGAGAAACAGAGAUACAGCUACACUUGCACUAAAAAGGAUGGAGGCUGACAAGUUUUAUCUCAGCAAAUUUAAAGAUUAAAUCUCUUAUUCACUAAUAAAACCUUCACAGAUACAAUCAACUUUAUUACUUUCAGAUCGCUGAAAACUGCCCAUGUUUCUAAGAUUUACACUUAACGAGAAAUGCUUAUUCUCCCUUUCAAACAAUGAAUACAAAUUUGUCCAUCUUGUUAAGUAAUACAACACCCUUUUAUCUUUUACCAAAUCCUACCCCCAACUAAAAACAAAAAUGUAAGAAAUUUUGAACAAUAAAGAAUUAGGAGGGUGGGGAUAAACAAACUAAAAUUAUAUGGCUUUGUUUGCGGACUCAACUAAAAAUGCUUCACUCACAAUAAUAUACAAUCAUAGGGCAGAGGUUAACAAUGUACAGAAUCUAACCUAUAAUAUUCAUGACUGGCAGUUUUAAAAAGCCAAUGCAAAGUUGAGACAACGUUCCAAAAAGAAACAAACCCCUUACCAUCCUGACUGCUUUUAAGCUCCUCACUGUAUUUCUUCUGUAAAGCCAACUCUGCUUCAAGUUGUGCAAUACGUCCCUGGGACAGCUGCCUUCCAAGCUCUUGAUUCUCCUGGAUAAGCAUUCGACACUUCGCCAUUAACUUUUUCCCUGUUUGGCUGCAAAGGAAAGAGCCAUCCAUCACAAAAUGAAGACAAAACUCUCUGUCUUUGCUUACAAUUAUUACAGUGAUAGAUGUAACACAUACAAACAUAACUAUAUCACAGCAGAUGCUUCCCCAUAAUUACCAUCUUCUUUUCUGGGACACAUCCAUCUUCUGCAUUUCAGUAUUUUGCCAACACAGCAGUAAAAAUAAACCCUAAACAAAAAGUGCCCAAACAGCUACACCUUGUUUCUAUUACAUCAAUAAUCAAUUCUGAAAUCCAUCUAUUUUCAUCUCAAAUUAUCAUUUGAAAUGGAAACAGAGCCAGUUAAUUAACACACACCUUGGCUAUACCAGUAUUAUUACACUAAGGAAUCUAGCGCUUUAUCAGAAAAGUUCUUGAAAAGGUACAUGCAACAUCAAUCACAAAUAUUUAUGAAAAUCAGUACCUACAAAUAAAAAUGAAUGAGAGUAUUUAUUCUUGCUAGAAAAACAUUUAAUAAGGAUUUUCCUUAACAGGAAGUCCUCCAGCAUGGGCAACAUAGACUCCAACUCUACAAAAAAUUUUUUAAAAAGUAGCCAGGCACACAUGCUUGUAGUGCCAGCCUCUGGAAAGGCUGAGGUGAGAGGACUGCUUAAGCCCAAGUGGUUGACGCUGUGACCAUGCCACUGCAUUCCAGCUUCGGAAACAGGGACCCUGUCUCAAAAAAGAGGAGGAGAGAGGGAAGUUUUCUGGUACAUCCAUCUUCCAUAACUCUCAAGAAUAUUAUCUAUUAUAUUAAUUGAGGCACAUUCAGCAGUUAAGGUUUUUUUUUUAAAGACUUAAGACUUUAUUGGAAAAGAUCAUCCUUUUGACACAAAAAUAAGACCAGUGGUCACGUAUCACAAUUCAAACACGCAAAUAUCUGCCAAUCUAGGAGUGUCACACUUUCCACAGAUUAUAGUUUCCAAAUGCUAGUGCAACAUACUACUGAACCUAUGUGCACAUACAUAGCAAUUGCAAAUAUGUAAUGAAAAGCUCAAAUGUUUCCCAAUAAAAUUUUACUGCUUUUCUUUAGCCUCAGCAAUAAAAGGAGAAAUUAUUUGCUUGUUCUUGUAAUUAUUUAUGAAAAAAGAAAAAAAAAGAAAUGAUCACUUUUAAAGGGAUCUAAGUAAAUAAUUGUGAUAUUUACCUUUGAGACUUGGAUAAAGACAGUGUGACAUUCUUGUCCUUGGGGUAAGUCCAGGAUGACCUUAUGGGUUAAAACAUUUUUUAAAUUCUAGUCUUUCCUUCUUCUAGUGAGGCUUUCACUUGCCUGAUACACUACUUCAGUAUGCCUUAUAAGUUUAAAAAUGAGAGCAUUUUGUAAAUAUUUUAUCAAUCUUUGAAGUGUUGCAUGGUUCUUUCACCUACAGCAUUUUUUUUUUUUUUUUGAGAUGGGGGUCUCACUGUGUUGCCAGGCUGGAGUGCAGUGGCGUGAUCUCAGCUCACUGGAGCCUUGACGUCCCCAGGCUCAGGUGAUCCUCCCACCUCAGCCUCCGGAGUACCUGGGGACUAUAGGUGUGCACGAGCACCCCCAGCUAAUUUUGGAUUUUUAGUAGAGAUGGGGUUUCGCCUUGUUGCCCAGGCUGGUCUCAAACUCCUAAGCUCAAGUGAUCUGCCUACCUCAGCCUUCCAAAGUGUUGGGAUUACAGGCAUGAGCCACCGUGCCUGGCUGCAUGUUUUCUAACCUAAUGUAAUUCAAGGAAAAGUUUGUAAUUAAGCUUUCUUCCAGAAAAUACCUGAAGAGUUCAACCUGGGUUACUACUGCUCAGAGGAGCCCGAGGGUGAAAGCCACCAGUGAGCAUGUGGUAAAGGCUUUAUUCUUUGAUAUGAUAACUUUAUUAGCUGGUGUUCUUGUUCACUGCUACUGUAGCUCCAGAUUUCCACCAUUUCCCAUCAGCACUCUCAGGCGUUAGCCUCCACUGAACAUCCACUUAGAAAUUAAACAAUGGGAAAAUGAGAGAUAUGCAAGAUUGUCAAAAACAAUGGAAUUCCUUCCACUUUACUGCCUAUGCUCUCAAAACUGUCUUCUUGCAAAGUAUAUAUAUUUCAUUGGUGUUUACAACUAACCUUCUUACUAUAUGAAUUUUAAAGAGUAGAAAAAGACAACUGUAAGAUACAUUAAUCUGUGACCUGACUUAACCCCAUAUAAAAAUGUCACAAAUUCUAAUGCAAAAAAGGUUUCGUUUAAAAAGUCAUACCUUUUAAUAAAUAAAUGUCUAAGCUAAGAUAGUCAUAUCACGUUUAAAACUAGUGAUUAGUAAAAUAAAUUUUAACAAAAUCACAGUUUUGAAAAAAUAAUUUAAUUACAAGUAGUUGUUUUUGAAAUAAUUUUUUAAAAUUACAAACAAAAAAAUCAACCCAUUCCUAAAAUCGAUUAACCCACAAACAUAAUAGAAAGCACUUUGAAAGAUAUACCUCUAAACACUCUAAAAUGUGUGCAUUCUCACAUGAAUGAAAUAUUUUAACUGAACUGGACAGGUUAUUUCUGGGAAUCUUUCUUCCUCAAAAUUAGAACAGAAAAACAGUAAAGCGAAGACACACACGUGCGUGCGCGUGCACGCAACCCAAAGCAAAACCCAUUCCACCACUGGAAAUAUUCCAGACGGGAUUGCCUGAGCCAUUAUUUGUUUCAAAUUAGUGAUGUAUUUAUAGUACCUGAUAUACUCUGGCUUACAGCCAAUUUUAUAGAAAAAAAUCCAUUUAUAAGUGAUUCAAAUAAAUUAUGAUUCCUUAAUAUAACGGAAAUAUACUAUGUAAGCAUUAAAAAUGUAGUUGUCUAGAUACAUUAAAAAAUGGAAAAAUGCCAAAGAGACCAAGUAAAAAAAAACAAGGUGCAACUCAUCUGUGUUUAUGGUAUGAUCACAUUUGUUUAAAACAAUAUACAUAAAAUAACUGUAUAUGCAUAGAAAUUAUCUUGAUGAUACCCAAGAAAAAGUAAUAGCAGUUACUGCUCUUGGAGAAGAGAAUGAGGAUGUCAAGGUCACAUCCGGGAGUGACACUCACUUUUCAUCUCCCCCUUUCUCUACAGUAUUUCAAUUUUAUACAUAAGCAUGUAUUAUCUUAUUAAAAGAGAAAAUUUUAACAAUGACAAGAAAAAAACCAUAGAACUCAUGACUGUUAUCUAAGUGUCAAAGAAAGAUGCCUGCUCAAUUUGAGUACAUGUUAAUAAUACAUUUUAUGGAUUACUCUUCUACUAAAAUCUACUAAAAAGAUACUUAGGCCAUUUCUACUGUGAACUUAAAUGGCAUAAAAUAUUUACAAAAGCCUUAAUGCAAGCACAUAAGCUAAUUUCAAACAGAUCUGGUUACUUACCCUCCAACCCUCACAAAUAGUGAGAAUUUUAGAAGCAGAUUUCUUGCUGAAAAGUCACACAAACCACUUCUUCAACCCACCCUCUGCCCCACAAUCAGUUCCCUAAAGCACAAACAUAUGAUACUUACAAUUGAUUUGAAUGAUUAAGAGAGAACUUAAGUCACCCUUGUUAAAACUGCACUUAAACGUUGGGACAAGCUGGAACAUUUAUCUUCCACUCAUCUUAGACUCCAUUAUCACCAAGCGAAAAUUUGAAUUGGUGACUUAUAGAAUGAUCUGACGGAAAAAAUUCACCUCCAGGAUUGGAUGGAAGCAUGAAGAAAAUAAUGCCUCAUUUAUCUAAAUGAUUAAAUGAAUUUGCUAGAAAUGAUCACUAUACCUUUUUUCAAUUCACAAAAUGUCUUACUUAGGCCAGCCCACAGUUCCAACACAUUAUCUUCUGGCAGACACCCUGUGAAGCUGUCCCACAUUACUUUCUACUGCAAUACCCUGGGACAAAGUGUCAUAAAAGUAACAAGUGUCAAGUCUCCUUGUCUUUUAUGUAGGUCUUUUAAAAAUGAGGCACAGCGCCUUUUCCUUCACUUUGAAGAGCACAGCAACAGUAUUUCCAAAAUGAAUCUGCUCUCAACAGGCCCUCCCCGCCCCAAAUUAAAAUGUUAAAGAGUACAACAAAAUCAUCAUAAUAUUCUUUGAACUUAAAAAAAAAAAAAAACCAACUAUUUCAAGGCACAUUUAAUUUAAUAUCAAGAGUGCAAUACAAAAGGCCCAAAUACAAUGAAGGAACACAUUCCCCCAUUAACACCAACGACAAAGCUCUUUUAAAC
rnacentral:lncRNA from 10 species